rnacentral:lncRNA from 1 species
AUUUUCUAAAUAUUUAUGGUUUUUGGUCAUUUACAGUAGCAAAUCCCCUUAAGUAAAAGUAUUAAAAUCUUUCUUAACUAACAUUAAAACGUCAACAUAGAAAAAAUUAACAUAACAUUUACAAUUUAAAUAUUGGAUUGCCUGAACAAAGGCUUACAAUGGUCAAAUAGUUUAGCAUCCAUCAUAAUACUCACUGCCUUUUUUGUGAAAAAAUUAAAAUUUCUCUAUGGCUAUAUUAUUUCCCUAUACAAUCAAGCUGUAUCUCACAAUAAUCUCUAAAUAUUGGAAAUAGGCCAUCCGUAAAUAUUCAUAAGUAACUUGUCUUUUUAGGUUAACAAUUAAUCAAUUGUAAAAUUAUUGUAAAUUCUAAACAACUUUUUGCACACAUUGUCAAUUUGAUUUUCCCAUGAUAGACUAGCAUCACAUCUUAUACCUAACAAUGUGACUGGACUGUGUUUGUAAAACUAAUUUACUAUAUGUUUUGAAGCCUACUGUUAAAUUCUACGUCUUGUUUUAUUUAAAAAUAAUCCAUUUAUUUCCAAUAAACAAGUUGCACCUGUUGUAGUACUUAGAGACAAAGAUAUAAGAUGAUCUAAAUUACUAUGAACAUUCAAAAGAGAUGUGUCAUCAGGAAAGAUAUUGGCAAAGCUAGAAAGGUUAAAGCUAAAGUAUUUAAUUAAAAUUAAAAAUAGAAUAGGCCCCAACAGAAAUCCUUGAGGUACACCUAACUUAACAUCCAAAAUCUGGCAAAUAGCACCAUUGACAACAGUGAGAUAGGAUUCAAAAAUACAUAAAUCCUUCCAUGAAAACCAUAAGUUUAAUUUAGUAAGUGAAAUUUCAUGGCGUAUCAUAUUGAACACUUUGCUAAGGUUACACAGUGUUAUUUGAGCAAAAUUCUGGUUUUUUAAAGCUAAGAGUAAUUGUUGAGCGAGGCUAUCAAUAGCUUGUGUAGUGUACCUACCAGAGCGGUAGCCAUAAUAACAUUCAAUAAAUAGUUUGUGUUUGAAAAUGAUGACAUACUUAAUUCUAAGAACUUUUUCAAAGACUAGCCAACAUUGGAAUUCAAGAGAUUGUCUUAAAUUUCAUAACAACUGCAACUAUUGUUCACUUGUAUUUUUUCUGUAAAUAUCCUUGCACAUUAAAAGAUUUUUUUUUUAAAUCUAUACUAGUUGUGGUGUAUAUCAGUUUACAGUAUCCACCUUCUUAGUACGACUAACUCUAGACUUGCAUAUGUGACAUGAAAACAAUUCUCAGUGUUAAAAACCGGUUAAAAAAGGGAUCAAACAAAGGUAAAUUAGAUGCUAAAAUAAAAAACUAGUUUUAUUUAGAAAAGAUAUUCUUAAAGUCAUUAAUUUUAUUCUUGAUUCUAGGCCUACUUCUCAAGGAGUUAUCUGUACCAUGAUUUUUGUUCACACAGGGGUCCUUAGGGUUAUCAGAAAACAUUUUAAACAGUGAGUCAUCAUGAUCAUACAAAUCAACUUUCAUGAUCUCAAACUUGUAAUCUCUUGAAUGUAUUGUAAUUAUAUUGUGAUUGUGGGUAUAAUUCAAGAGACAGUGAUAGUGAUGUAAGCUUUCAAGCUUGCAUUAUACCCCGAUCUUGAAACUAUUUCACUAAUUUAGUUGUUAACGACUCAGACCCUGAGGAUGGAGGUUAUCUAAUAUUUCUAAUAUAAAAAUUACUUGUAUGCAACCAGUGUUGAGAACUAUGAAUCUUACAUAGAACAACACAUUUACCAUAGCUACUGACUUUUUUGUGGAAAAAUUAGAGAAACAGUGGUAUUCGAGCAAUCACUGAACCACCAGCCAUUUUACUUCCAUAGUAACCAGCCCAAAACUGUGUGUCUAUUCCUUCAUGAUGAAACAACAAAAAUCUCACAUCUGGUCCGUAGUUUCUGAAUGUAUGUGAUACCUGAAACACAGGGUGCAUGUGUAUGUAAUAUGCAAAUGCAUAUAAUAAUUUAAAAAAGUGUGAUUUUUUUUCUAAAAUGCUUUGUUACAAACAACUAAUAGCGAAAUAAAUGAUUUAAUAGCAAGUAAAAAAUAUACUAAGCACA